UUACGGCCAUAUCACAUUGAAACAUUGGUUCUCAGAUGAUCGCCAAAGUUAAGGAAGGUAGAGCCUGGUCAGUACCAAGAUGGGUGACCACUUGGGGAUACAAGGUGCUA